rnacentral:rRNA from 1 species
CAGUAGCCGCGGGAAUACGAAGGGUGCAAGCGUUAAUCGGAAUUACUGGGCGUAAAGCGUGCGCAGGCGGUCCGCUAAGACAGAUGUGAAAUCCCCGGGCUUAACCUGGGAACUGCAUUUGUGACUGGCGGGCUAGAGUAUGGCAGAGGGGGGUAGAAUUCCACGUGUAGCAGUGAAAUGCGUAGAGAUGUGGAGGAACACCGAUGGCGAAGGCAAUCCCCUGGACCUGUACUGACGCUCAUGCACGAAAGCGUGGGGAGCAAACAGGAUUAGAUACCCGCGUAGUCCCUGUCUCUUAUAC